rnacentral:rRNA from 1 species
CCUACGGGAGGCAGCAGUGGGGAAUAUUGCACAAUGGGCGCAAGCCUGAUGCAGCGACGCCGCGUGAGGGAUGACGGCCUUCGGGUUGUAAACCUCUGUUAGCAGGGAAGCGGUACCUGCAGAGAAAGCGCCGGCUAACUACGUGCCAGCAGCCGCGGUAAUACGUAGGGCGCGAGCGUUGUCCGGAAUUAUUGGGCGUAAAGAGCUUGUAGGCGGUUUGUCGCGUCUGCUGUGAAAGGCCGGGGCUUAACCCCGUGUUUGCAGUGGGUACGGGCAGACUAGAGUGCAGUAGGGGAGACUGGAAUUCCUGGUGUAGCGGUGGAAUGCGCAGAUAUCAGGAGGAACACCGAUGGCGAAGGCAGGUCUCUGGGCUGUACUGACGCUGAGAAGCGAAAGCAUGGGGAGCGAACAGGAUUAGAUACCCUUGUAGUC